UAAAUAAGACCAUUCACUUACUUAGCCUUAAGUAAUGCAGAUAAAUGGGACACCAGAUGGAAUUCAUGUAGUGAAAUUCAUGCAGAUACUGUAUUUUAUGAUAUGCCUUCUUUCAGGGUUUAAUGAUCAUGCCGCCUUAUACUUUUAUAAUGCUUCGUAAGUUUAACAAGUACAGCAGAUAUUGCUGAUUUCCCACCCACUGCCCAUUCUCCCCUUCUUUCUUAUUCGUAGAACCUUGAUUUUGUUCAGGGAGGCAAUAUGCUCAGCUAAAAAUAUUUCCCAGUUUCCCUUGUAGGUAGGAAUGAUCAUGUGACAGCCAAUGAGAUGUAAAUGGAAUUCUGCUGGGGAUAUCUGGAUUGAGUAUGGAAGUGGGGCCUCUACCUUGUGACUGAGAGGGAGCCAGGGAGUAAAAGCUGCUUGCAGAAAGAGGAGCCAGGGAUAUUGAUGACAUCAUGAAGCCACUUCAUCAGCGUGGACCACUGGUCUCCAGAAUACCUAUGAUGUGGGAACAAUAAACACUUACUUGUUU
rnacentral:lncRNA from 10 species